rnacentral:tRNA from 1 species
GGUAGCUCAGUGGUAGAGCAUAUGCUUAGCAUGCACGAGGUCCUGGGUUCAAUCCCCAGUACGUCCA